AGCACUCACAGGCACUGAACCCGCUGGUGUGAGGAUCAUGGGGACUGCCUAUUGAGAAGUUUCUUUCCAACGGCUUCUCAUAAUACUUCCCUGAUGAGGAUAAGUGUGACAUCUGCCUGGAACAGGUGGGAAAACAGAAGCAGGUGGCUAACAGCCACAUCUACUCAUCGUAUUCAGGAGCUUAAAACGAUUGCUUUUAACAAUAAAGUAAUUCACAGUAGAGAAGAAAAAAGUGUUGUUCCUGUAAUAAGUAGGACAAUCAAAUACAGCACAUGCAUUUGUUUUAUGACCCUCUAGACAAACUCCCAAGUGAACUCUGGUGCAAGAAGAGUCAAGUCUUAACAUCUAUUGAGAAAGUAUAAACACUAUGAUGCCAUAAUUCUACACGCUUGGGCCCUAGCACAUGGGCUCUGCAGGUUUGCUUUGGGCCUGGAAUUAUGCCACGGAGGCUCCAGUGCUCACCACUCUCUGAUGGGAAGCUGAGAAGAAGAAGGGACACCCAGGAAGAAUGUUGUUCCUUCCAUCAAUCUUCUGACACUUACUUGCCUCUGAAAUGCGGCCCUCUCUUAAGAGAGUGUGUGUGUGUCUGUGUGUGUCUGUGUGUGUCUGUGUGUGUAUAAACAUUAGCAGAGACCCACAGGCAAUGGAUAAGGAUAGAAUUACCCACUGGCAAUGAGUAAUGCUCAGAACCAACUGCCAAACGAAUUCUCACUAAUCUCUUUCUUUUUUACCCAUUUCAUGACACUUUCUUGCUGCUAUCAUUUUCUGAUUAUUGUGAAACUGAGGAUUUUCCAAUGUGUUUCUCAGCCAUUUGUUAUUUAUUCUUCUGUGUUUGCCUAUGGAUAUCCUUUGUACAUGUUUUCAUUGUGCUGAUUGCCUUUCUCUUACAAUAUUUAGACAUUUAUAUUUUAUAUAUUUAAUAUAUGCACUGCAAAUACUUUUCUUCACAAAGUGUGUUGCCUAUUUUUAACAGAUUUAUGGAGGUAUAAUUUAUAUACCACAUUAAUUCUCUGUUGGUAAAAGUACAAUUCAGUGAUUUCUAGUAAGUUUUCAGAGUUGUGCAGCCAUGACCACAAUACAGUUUUAGGACACUUCCAUCACUGUGGGAAGAAUUCUUAUGACUAUUUUCAGUCCAUACCAUCCCCAUUCCCAGUCCCAGGCCUUUUUUGGACAUUUCCCAUGCAACGCAAUCAUACAUGUAGUGCUUUACAUUUAACUUCUUAGUAUAAUGUUCUAGCAUUCAUCUACAUGUUGUAUGUAGCAUGUAUCAAUAUUUCACUCCUUUUUUUGUUAACAAAUAAUAUUCCAAUGUAUAGCUAGCCAAAAUUUUUAUCUAUUCACCAACUAAUAAAUAUUUGGAUCAUUUCCAAUUUUUGCCUAUUGUGAUUAAUACUACUAUAAAUAUUUGCACGUCUUUUUAUUUCUCUUAGAUUCCUACUUACUAAUAGAAUUAUUGAUGCAUGUGGAAAAUUUAUGUGCAACUUCUUGUGAAACUCUUUUCUAAAGUGGCUGUACCAUUUUGUAUUCCAACCAGCAAUGUAUAAAGUUUCUAGUUGCUCCAUGUUCUUGUCAACACUUGUUAUUGUCAGCCUCUUAUGACAGCCAUCUAGUUGUGGUUUUAAAAUGCAUUUCUCCAAUGCCUAAUAAUGCUGAACAUCUUUUCAUGUGUUUAUUGGCCAUCGUAAGAUGUCUCUUCAAAUAUUUUGCUCAUUUUUAUUCAGUUGUAUUCAAAAUGAGUUGUAAGAAUUCUUUAUAUAUAAUGGAUACAAAUCUAUUAUAAAACAUAUGAUUUGUCAGAAAGAUAAUCCAAGGGCACCUGGGUGGCUCAGUCAGUUAAGUGUCUGCCUUCAGCUCAGAUCAUAAUGCCAAAGACUUGGGUUUGAGCCCUGUAUUGGGCUUCCUGCUCAGUGGGGACCCUGUUCCUCCCUCUCCUUCUGCCCUCUGGCUCCUGCUCUCUCUCUCUCACUCUUUCUCUAUCUCAAAUAAAUAAAUAAA